UACGGGGGGGGCAAGCGUUGUUCGGAAGUACUGGGCGUAAAGGGCGCGUAGGCGGCCUUCUAAGUCGGACGUGAAAUCCCUCGGCUUAACCGAGGAACUGCGUCCGAUACUGAAAGGCUUGAAUCCGGGAGAGGGAUGUGGAAUUCCAGGUGUAGCGGUGAAAUGCGUAGAUAUCUGGAGGAACACCGGUGGCGAAGGCGGCAUCCUGGACCGGCAUUGACGCUGAGGCGCGAAAGCCAGGGGAGCAAACGGG
rnacentral:rRNA from 1 species